rnacentral:rRNA from 1 species
UACGAAGGGUGCAAGCGUUACUCGGAAUUACUGGGCGUAAAGAGUGCGUAGGCGGUUCGUUAAGUCCGUUGUGAAAGCCCUGGGCUCAACCUGGGAAUGGCAGUGGAUACUGGCGAGCUAGAGUGUGAUAGAGGAUGGUGGAAUUCCCGGUGUAGCGGUGAAAUGCGUAGAGAUCGGGAGGAACACCAGUGGCGAAGGCGGCCAUCUGGAUCAACACUGACGCUGAGGCACGAAAGCGUGGGGAGCAAACAGG